GAUGAACGCUGGCGGCGUGCCUAAUACAUGCAAGUCGAGCGAACGGACGAGAAGCUUGCUUCUCUGAUGUUAGCGGCGGACGGGUGAGUAACACGUGGAUAACCUACCUAUAAGACUGGGAUAACUUCGGGAAACCGGAGCUAAUACCGGAUAAUAUUUUGAACCGCAUGGUUCAAAAGUGAAAGACGGUCUUGCGGUCACUUUUAGAUGGUUCCGCGCUGCAUUAGCUAGUUGGUAAGGUAACGGCUUACCAAGGCAACGAUGCAUAGCCGACCUGAGAGGGUGAUCGGCCACACUGGAACUGAGACACGGUCCAGACUCCUACGGGAGGCAGCAGUAGGGAAUCUUCCGCAAUGGGCGAAAGCCUGACGGAGCAACGCCGCGUGAGUGAUGAAGGUCUUCGGGUCGUAAAACUCUGUUAUUAGGAAAGAACAUAUGUGUAAGUAACUGUGGACGUCUUGACGGUACCUAAUGAGAAAGCCACGGCUAACUACGUG
rnacentral:rRNA from 1 species